UACGUACUCCCUCCGUCCGAAAAAGCUUGUCUCUCAAAUGAAUGUAUCUAGCAUCAAGUUAGUGCUAGAUACAUUCAUUUGAGGAAUAAGCUUGGGACAAGUUUUUCCAGACGGAGGUAGUAUUUA
rnacentral:pre_miRNA from 1 species